rnacentral:lncRNA from 1 species
GCAGCAGCAUGUCCCUUAUGUACUUCCAGGGAUGCUCCAUGUUCCCUUGGUGGUGGAGGUGCUGGUGGUCCCCUCUGCUGGGAGAAGGCCUCCAGGCCUUUGACAUGGCUGACAUCCAGAUGACACAGAAAUGGAAUCUGCAGAUCUGGAGUGUGGCCAGAUCACUCCACUGAAAGAGGGAUGCUGAAGGCUUUCUUCUGUGCGC